UGGCGUUCGGCGCGGGUUGGGGGCUGGCGGGUUUCUGCCCCGGCCCGGCGCUGGUGGCGGCGGCGGCCGGCGUGCGGGAGGCACUGAUCUUCGU
rnacentral:tRNA from 1 species